rnacentral:tRNA from 2 species
GUCCGGGUGGCGGAAUGGCAGACGCGCUAGCUUGAGGUGCUAGUGCCCUAACGGGCAUGGGGGUUCAAGUCCCCCUCCGGACA